AACGAACGCUGGCGGCAGGCCUAACACAUGCAAGUCGAACGAUAAGCCACCUUCGGGUGGUGGACAGUGGCAGACGGGUGAGUAACGCGUGGGAACGUGCCUUUCGGUUCGGAAUAACCCAGGGAAACUUGGGCUAAUACCGGAUACGCCCUUCGGGGGAAAGAUUCAUUGCCGAAAGAUCGGCCCGCGUCGGAUUAGCUAGUUGGUGGGGUAAUGGCUCACCAAGGCGACGAUCCGUAGCUGGUCUGAGAGGAUGACCAGCCACACUGGGACUGAGACACGGCCCAGACUCCUACGGGAGGCAGCAGUGGGGAAUAUUGGACAAUGGGCGCAAGCCUGAUCCAGCCAUGCCGCGUGGGUGAAGAAGGCCUUAGGGUUGUAAACCCCUUUCAGCGGGGAAGAUAAUGACGGUACCCGCAGAAGAAGUCCCGGCUAACUCCGUGCCAGCAGCCGCGGUAAUACGGAGGGGACUAGCGUUGUUCGGAAUUACUGGGCGUAAAGCGCACGUAGGCGGAUUUGUAAGUCAGGGGUGUAAUCCCGGGGCUCAACCUCGGAACUGCCUUUGAUACUGCAAAUCUCGAGUCCGGAAGAGGUGAGUGGAAUUCCUAGUGUAGAGGUGAAAUUCGUAGAUAUUAGGAAGAACACCAGUGGCGAAGGCGGCUCACUGGUCCGGUACUGACGCUGAGGUGCGAAAGCGCGGGGAGCAAACAGGAUUAGAUACCCUGGUAGUCCACGCCGUAAACUAUGGGUGCUAGCCGUCGGGGAGCAUGCUCUUCGGUGGCGCAGCAAACGCAUUAAGCACCCCGCCUGGGGAGUACGGUCGCAAGAUUAA
rnacentral:rRNA from 1 species